CAUUAUUCGUAUUAUAAUAUGAAAUAAUGUUAUACGUUGAUGUUAAUAUUGACCUGAAGACCUAAAAGAUAUAUUAUAAUUAUCACACGUAUUUUUUAUUUACUACCGAUUGGUAGAAGAUAGUUUGCGUUUCGACUUAACAUGAAGAUUGCUGCGUAUUUAUUAUUGUUUUGUUUGGUACUUACUGUUAUCUAUGCUGCACCUAAUAUAUCUGGUCCUUAUCAAAAUAUGACGUGCGCGGAAUCCCACAACGAUUGUUUUCCAAAAUCGUCUUGUAAUCCACGCUUGGUUUUAGGUCAAAAAGAAUGCAAGGAUGGUGAAGUCUGUUGUCUUUUAUUGUUAUAAAAUAUUUUAUGAACUUUAUAUGCAAUAAAAAUUAGCGAAAAAUUUGUGUUAUUGAU